GCGCUCGUAGCUCAGUGGUAGAGCAUCCGCCUUUUAAGCGGGAGGCCGUGAGUUCAAGUCUCACCGAGCGCA
rnacentral:tRNA from 1 species